UUUCAGGAGUUUUCCAUUGAGUUUCCACCAUUUGAUGCUUCCAAGACCUUCCCAUUGGAUUUCCAUCAGUUUUCGUCAUUUUUAAGCCAUUUUUUGAUGGUUUCAAGACCUUCCCAUUGGAUUUCCACCAUCCUUUGAUGUUUCCAAGACCUUCCCGUUGGUUUUCCACCACUUUUUGAUGGUUUCAAGACCUUCCCGUUGGGUUUCCGUCAGUUUUUGUCGGUUUUAAGCCAUUUUUUGAUGGUUUCAAGACCUUCCCGUUGGGUUUUCACCAUCCUUUGGUGCUUCCAAGACCUUCCUGUUGGGUUUCCACCAUCCUUUGAUGCUUCCAAGACCUUCCCGUUGGGUUUCCACCAUCCUUUGAUGCUUCCAAGACCUUCCCGUUGGGUUUCCACCAUCUUUUCAUGGUUCCAAGACCUUCCCAUUGGGUUUCCACCAUCAUUUCAUGCUUUCAAGACCUUCUCGUUGGGUUUCCACUCAUUUUUGAUGGUUUCCAGUCAAUUUUUGAUGGUUUCAAACCCUUCCCAUUGGGUUUCCACCAUCCUUUGAUGCUUCCAAGACCUUCCCGUUGAGUUUCCAUCAGUUUUUGUCGGUUUUAAGCCAUUUUUUGAGGGUUUCAAGACCUUCCCGUUGGUUUCCCACCAUCUUUUCAUGGAUUCAAGACCUUCCCCUUGGCUUUCCACCCCUUUUUGAUGGUUUCAAGACCUUCCCCUUGGGUUUGAACCCCUUUUUGACGGUUUCAAACCAAUUUUUGAGGGUUUCAAGCCACUCCCAUCGGGUCUCCCACCAUUUUUGGGUCACUUUUAGGCCAUUUUUUGCCACUUUCGAGCCAUUUCUUGAUGGUUUCAAGCCAUUCCCGUUGGGUUCCCAACAUUUUUUUGUCACUUUUAAUCCAUUUUUUGACAAUUUCAUUGGUUUCCCACCAUUUUUUCCCCGCUUUUAGGCCAUUUUUUUGUGGUCUCAACCUACUUUUUGAUGGUUUCCCACCUUUUUUUGUCACUUUUAGGCCAUUUAUUGACGAUUUCAACCCACCUUUGGAUGAUUUCCCACCAUUUUUGUCACUUUUAGGCCAUUUUUUCACGGUCUCAACCUACUUUUUGAUGGUUUCCCACCAUUUUCUGUCCCUUUUAGGCCAUUUUUUCACAGUCUCAACCUACUUUUUGAUGGUUUCCCACCACUUUUUGUCACUUUUAGGCCAUUUUUUCGCGGUCUCAACCUACUUUUUGAUGGUUUCCCACCAUUUUUUGUCGCUUUUAGGCCAUUUUUUUGUCACUUUUAGGCCAUUUAUUGACGAUUUCAAGCCAUUCCCGUUGGUUACCCACCAUUUUAUGUUGAUUUCAGGCCAUUUUUUGAUGGUUUGA
rnacentral:lncRNA from 1 species